GACGAACACUGGCGGCGUGCUUAACACAUGCAAGUCGAACGGAAAGGCCCUGCUUUUGUGGGGUGCUCGAGUGGCGAACGGGUGAGUAACACGUGAGUAACCUGCCCUUGACUUUGGGAUAACUUCAGGAAACUGGGGCUAAUACCGGAUAGGAGCUCCUGCUGCAUGGUGGGGGUUGGAAAGUUUCGGCGGUUGGGGAUGGACUCGCGGCUUAUCAGCUUGUUGGUGGGGUAGUGGCUUACCAAGGCUUUGACGGGUAGCCGGCCUGAGAGGGUGACCGGCCACAUUGGGACUGAGAUACGGCCCAGACUCCUACGGGAGGCAGCAGUGGGGAAUAUUGCACAAUGGGCGGGAGCCUGAUGCAGCAACGCCGCGUGCGGGAUGACGGCCUUCGGGUUGUAAACCGCUUUCGCCUGUGACGAAGCGUGAGUGACGGUAAUGGGUAAAGAAGCACCGGCUAACUACGUG
rnacentral:rRNA from 1 species